rnacentral:rRNA from 1 species
GACGAACGCUGGCGGCGUGCUUAACACAUGCAAGUCGAACGGAAAGGCCCUGCUUUUGUGGGGUGCUCGAGUGGCGAACGGGUGAGUAACACGUGAGUAACCUGCCCUUGACUUUGGGAUAACCUCAGGAAACUGGGGCUAAUACCGGAUAGGAGCUCCUGCUGCAUGGUGGGGGUUGGAAAGUUUCGGCGGUUGGGGAUGGACUCGCGGCUUAUCAGCUUGUUGGUGGGGUAGUGGCUUACCAAGGCUUUGACGGGUAGCCGGCCUGAGAGGGUGACCGGCCACAUUGGGACUGAGAUACGGCCCAGACUCCUACGGGAGGCAGCAGUGGGGAAUAUUGCACAAUGGGCGGAAGCCUAAUGCAGCAACGCCGCGUGCGGGAUGACGGCCUUCGGGUUGUAAACCGCUUUCGCCUGUGACGAAGCGUGAGUGACGGUAAUGGGUAAAGAAGCACCGGCUAACUACGUG